GUUCAACAACUCCUGGCCAGUCAUUGUGGUGGACAACACUGUCAACAGGAAGCUGUUCAUCAGAAGGGUGUGGCGUAAAUGCAGGAGGCUGCUGGUGUGACAGGGUCUGUGCCUCUACGAACGACUGCUGUCACGACUACGUGGAAGUAUGUGAAUCAUCUGUAGGAGGGGCCAGCGCCACUGAUCUUCCUACGGUCUCCCCAUCAUGGUACACAUCUCAAUCCGGU